rnacentral:rRNA from 1 species
CGCAAGCCUGACGGAGCAAUACCGCGUGAGGGAGGAAGGCCUUUGGGUUGUAAACCUCUUUUCUUAAGGAAGAAGAUCUGACGGUACUUAAGGAAUCAGCAUCGGCUAACUCCGUGCCAGCAGCCGCGGUAAUACGGAGGAUGCAAGCGUUAUCCGGAAUUAUUGGGCGUAAAGCGUCCGCAGGCGGUAUUAUAAGUCUGCUGUCAAAGACCGCAGCUCAACUGCGGAAAGGCAGUGGAAACUGUAAAGCUAGAGUACGGUAGGGGUAGAGGGAAUUCCCAGUGUAGCGGUGAAAUGCGUAGAUAUUGGGAAGAACACCAGUGGCGAAAGCGCUCUACUGGGCCGUAACUGACGCUCAGGGACGAAAGCUAGGGGAGCG